UUGACGCAGAUGUAAGUGGGACAGAUGAAGUUCAUGUUCCACAGCUGGUGAUGGCGGAUGUUGUUGAAAAAGACACCAUGAAGAAUUACCACAUAGCGUCUGAGAAAAUUAACCCGGAGGCCAGCCGCUACCCUUACUGCAUUGUGUGGACCCCUAUCCCCGUCUUAUCAUGGCUGCUUCCAUUCAUUGGUCACAUGGGAAUCUGCACCUCCACUGGAGUCAUCCGAGACUUUGCUGGACCGUACUUUGUCUCGGAGGACAACAUGGCUUUUGGAAGACCGACAAAGUACUGGAUGCUUGAUGUAAGCAAAGUCUACGCCAGCGGCUCCAACGCCUGGGACACUGCAGUACAUGACGCAUCAGAGGAGUAUAAGCACAGGAUGCACAACCUGUGCUGCGACAACUGUCACUCACACGUUGCCAUGGCUCUGAAUCUGAUGCGGUACGAAAACAGCACCUCGUGGAACAUGGUCAAACUCUGCCUCCUCGCUCUCAUCCAUGGAAAACAUGUCAGCUGUGCAGGCUUCCUGAAGACCUGGCUGCCUUUCCUGAUGCUCAUGGGCAUCAUCCUUACAGUGGCCUUGGCCCUCAACCUCCGGUGACCGGGGAGACAGGUUUAAGACACGGUGAAAAACCCCCUCCUGCGGCUCAGAUGCGGCGCUGACCUUUUGAACAACAAAGGGGAGGGGGCAUCACACGGCGUCGAACGAAAGUAACCGAGGGGAUGAAGACUACUCACCUCCAGGAGGAGAUUGUUGGACGGGGAUGUCCGACACAUUGCUUGAUUUGUGGAGAGCAGGCGACCGGUCACUGGCAUUUACUGCAAAGUUGAAGCUGGAAACCCCCAGUGACGGGAAUUCAUUAAUAUCCACAUGCGUUUAGAGAAGUGACUGAACACUACACCGCCACCCACAACCACCACGACAACACAAACACCGAAUGGAUUAUGGAUGUCGAGAGUUUGAUCGCAGGUUCAAGCCAUCCCCACCUGCAGAGUGUAACAGUACGCACGUUGUUGAAUUCUCUGAGGGACACACAUCCAUGCCUUGCUUUCCGAUUUAGAUGACUUUACUGUGUAAUGGAUUGGGAGUGUAAUCCCCCUGAUUCAGUGCUUCCAGAAUGCCAUUUUUAUACUGGGGAACAUGUUAAAUCAAUUAGCUGCCUUUCAAGGGAAUUUAUUGCAUUUCAUGCUUGAUCUAAUGUAGCUCUUUCACAGUACUGCAACUAAUACCUAAUUACACAAGAGCAGUUUGUAUUUUUGUGCGUUUUCUUACUCUUAUUCGAUAGAAUAUCAAACAGCCUGCAUCUCUAAAAAGAAAUAUUUUCUCAGAGAUCUGUUGUACUUGCUUUACAUGUAUCACCUCAUGGUACUUUUAAGUACAGGUUCAUCAGUGCAACGAUUGUAGCAACCUCAAUGAAUGUGGCUGUGGUAAAUAUCUAGAGAAACCAAGGGAAUAGUAAAGCUCCUCUUGGUUUUCUGUACAUGUGCCAAAUGUAGGAGAACGUGAGACCAACUCAAACUGUGUCUUUGCAUAUCUGACUUGUUCUGUAGUGGAACAGCUCAUCAGUGACUCCACACUCAUUGAAUGGAAAAGCCUGCAGAUGUCAGCAUUCUGAAACCUGCUGAUUGUUCUGUUCACUCUUAAGGAUGUUUUCCCCUUACUGGUUUUGACUUUCAUGAGAAAAAGCAAGAGUCAGUGCCUAAAAAUGACCUCUAUCAUCAUUCCCUUGUACACUAUAUGGUAUAUUUUUAGCUCUGUGGUUGUGUUUGACUCCUUUCUCAAAACGUUAAAUCCACAUGAUAGUUGGCACUCAAAAUCCGUUGCCAUGGCUGUCGUGAGCAGAUUCAAAUCCCCUCAUUGUUUGCAAUCAAACAGGAAAAAAAGUGUUGAGCCCUCUCUUUGUCCACGGUGCUGCCAGAAGCAGCAGGUAGCCAGGAUCCUCAGGUUUUUCACGCUCACAACCCCUGCUGUAUAUCCCGUUUCCCCCCCAGCGCCUGACCAGCGUCGCUCCCGCUGUUUUCCACCUCUGCAGAUCACAUUCGAAGGUCAUUGUGAAAUGUCAGCGCUGUUUCACAAAGCUUUGUUAUGUAUCGACCAACAUCUCCGCAAUAAUCCAAAGCAGAUGUCAUUUCAGUGUGAGCUUCUAAAUUAAAGUCUGUUUUCUUUUCUGUAGUAGGAGUUUUCCUCUAGGGCUAACACAGUGCCAGUUUUCUAGACUUUGCUCUCCUCAUCAGGCUCCUGUUGAAAGCAGAUAUUCUGUGGCCUCUUCUUGUGCGUAUCUCACCCAUGUUGCCUGUAAAUAUUUGAACAUUCUCCACAUCAGGUGCUCUUUCUAUACUUUGCAAACUUGAUCACUCACUACAGAUUUGCCCCCUGAAUAAUUUAAUGUAAUUUUCUUUGUUCUCUUUCCUCCACUUUUGCAUAUCAUGUCUGCUCAACAGUGAAGCAGAUUCGUGCCUGGAUCAGUGUGUGAUUGUGUACGUGUGUAUAUGUGUGUGUGCUGUACACAUAAAUGACUGGAGAGAGCAUGCAGUUGCAUGCCAGCAUGUGUGUAGUGCAUGCGUGCUAGAAUAUGAGUGGAACUGUUGGUGAGAGAAGUUCAUGGUUGAUUCAUAGCUGUGGUUUCUUAUUAAUUAGCUGCAUCUUAUUGCAGCAAGCUGCCUAGUGAUUGAUUUCUAUAUGUAUCACUCUAUAUUUUUCUCUUAAUCUCUUUUAAAUGUUAUGUGAUUGCUGGUAUUCUUUAGUGAGAAUAAAUAAUAUAUUAAACUGUAACAGGCCCGCUUAAGUUGAUGUUGAUUCGAUGCAAUAGCUGGUUCCGUGUGUACUGUAGCUACAGAUUCUGUAGAUUAGAGCUGCAGAGUCUUUUUCUCAAAGAGGAAAUGCAAAGAAAUGGAUAGUCUGGCUUCCACUGGGUGGUAACGGUCUAUAUACACUACCGUUCAAAAGUUUGGGGUCACCCAAGCUAUUUCAUGUUUUCCAUGAAAACUCACACUUUUAUUCAUUCGCUAACAUAACUGCACAAGGGGUUUCUAAUCAUCAAUCAGCCUUUCAACACCAUUAGCUAACACAAUGUAGCAUUAGAACACAGGAGUGAUGGUUGCUGGAAAUGUUCCUCUGUGCACCUAUGUAUAGAUAUUCCAUUAAACAUCAGUUGUUUUCAGCUAGAGUAGUCAUUUAUCAAAUUAACAAUGUCUAGACUGUAUUUCUGAUUAAUGUAAUGUUAUCUUCAUUUUUUUUUAAACUGCUUUUCUUUCAAAAAUAAAGACAUUUCAAAGCGAUCCCAAACUUUGAACGAUAGUGUAACUAUGUGGAGACUGGGUUGUAACAGUAGUGGCAGUUCAGAAAACAGCUACAAGUCAUUUUUUGCAACAGAAGGAAGACAUACAGAAAAGACAUUUUUACAUACGGAACAUCUGACAACAACCCAGUGAAUCAUCUUAGCAACUGAGGUGCCUUAAUGUGGUGUCAGUUUUAUGGGGAAGUAGAGGUAGCAUUAUAAAUGAGGCAUUCAGAGCAGACUGAGGGGGUAUUUCUACAUGUUCACCAACUUUUUGUUGUCUAACAUCAACUUCUGACUGGAUUGACAAGAAAUCACAAAAACAGGACCUGUCGUCCUAGAUUGUCUUUGUAUGACACAGGAAGUGUUUCCUUUAUGAAAACAUUUCUACCACUAGGCUGAUGAUUCGUCAGUACCAGUGUUUGGAUAUGAGUCAGAUCUAUCACUUUACGUGAAGGGCUUGGAAACACAUUUUGUUUUUGUUUAUUACCUGAUGAAUAUUUGCUGACAUCAUCCAUCAGUGUGAUCCUUGAAAUCCAGAUUUGUUUGUUCCGUUUAUUAACAGUUUCUAAAGACUGCAGCACAUGGGACAGGGAAGGAUGGGGAAACCUUUUAAAGCAUGUUAAGAUGGAGUGACACAGGCUGAGCAGAAUUUCUAGUGUUUGUCAGAAAAUGCUACCAAAAAAGUCAAUUUUAGCUGAUGGCUCCUUUAAUCUUCUUUUCUUUUCCUUUUUUUGUACACUUGUAACCUACAAUGCAUUAGUAUCGUUCACUAUUUUCUCAUUUUUCUAUUCGGUAUACAACUGCUUAACACUGUAAACAGAAUACUGAAAAGUCUGUGUGAAUAGAAAUAAUUGUACAUUUGUGCAAGAUGCUAAUUUGUUGUAUUUCCACUGACUGCAGUGCAGUGUGUGAGGCAAUUGUGCUGACCAUAGUUGGUUCUCUUCCAGUUCUUUUGCAGUGUUAACAUAUAGUUUCUUAGCUUCUUCUGGUGCAAAUGUUGUAUGAAACAUUUCUAAUACAGCAGCUGUGUUUCAAGCAUAACUUUAACUGUCGGCAAAAAUAAAGAAAAGAAAAUGAAGCUGAGAGAAAACUG